rnacentral:rRNA from 1 species
GUCUACGACCAUACCAGACUGAAAACACCGGAUCCCAUCCGAUCUCCGGAGUUAAGCAGCUAAGUCUAAGCUUAUAAAGGUUUAGAAGACA